UGCACCCAACUGUCCUUGCUGGAAACAGCAGAUGCACUCCACUUGAUUUGGUGGAAACAGCAGAUGUACCCUACUGGCCAUGGUGGAGACAGCAAAUGGACCCAACAGGACAUGGUGGAAACAGUAGAUGCACUCCAUUGGACUUGGUGGAAACAGCAGAUGCACCCAACUGGACUUGGUGGAUACAGAAGAUGGACCCAACAGGACAUGGUGGAUACAACUGGAGGAGACUUGCUUGAUGAUGUUGACCUUCCAAACAAGACAUAUCAAAGGAGAUAAUUGACACUGAUCAGCUCUACUGGUCAGAGACGAAAAAGCUUGCGAUAAUAAACAAGGACAUGGCAUGGUAGAAACAACUGGAGGAGACAGGGCCAAUGGAUGCUAAUCUUUCAAGAUGUGGAAACAGCAGAUGUUCUGAACAAGACGUGUAACAGCAGAUGCACCCAACUGGACACUGAUGGAAACAACUGGAUGAUGAAUAGCCAGUACUUGCUGAUCUUCCAAGAUGUGGAAACAGCAAAUGCACCCAACAGGACUUGGUGAAAACAGUAGAUGAACCCAAAAGGACCUGAUAGAAAAAACUGGAGGAUGAACAGCCAAAGGAUGCUGAUAUGACAUUUAUCAGCUGCAGCCAACAGAACCUUGUGGAAACUGCUGGAAUAGACAAGCUUGAUGAACCUCUUUUAAGAUGGGAAAACAGCAAAUACUUCUAAAAGGACUUAGUGAAAUAAAUCUUGAGGAGGCAAGGCCAUUAUGAAUCAUGAGGAAAACUUGAUGGACAAUGAUUUUCCAAUAUGUGAAAACACCAGCUAAACCCAAAAGGAAUUGGUGGAAAGAUGAGAAAACAGCAAAUACUUCUAAAAAGACUUGGUGAAAUAAAUCUUGAGGAGGCAAGGCUGUUAUUAAUCUUGAGGCAAACUUGAUGGACAAUGAUUUUCCAAUAUGUGAAAACACCAGCUACACCCAAAAGGAAUUGGCGGAAAGAAGGGAAAACAGCAAAUACUUCUAAAAAGACUUAGUGAAAUAAAUCUUGAGGAGGCAAGGCCAUUAUGAAUCUUGAGGCAAACUUGAUGGACAAUGAUUUUCCAAUAUGUGAAAACACCAUGUACACCCAAAAGGAAUUGGUGGAAACAAUUAACACAGACAAGCGUGAUGGACAAUGAUCUUCAAAAUGUGGAAACAGCAGAUAUGCCCGGAACAAGACUUGGUGGAAACACCUGGAGGACAAUGCCUGAUGGAUGUUGACUUUUCCACCAAGACAUACCACAGUGGAUAGCUGACACUGAUCAGAAAAUCAAAGAAACUUUGAGAAGGAAUUUAACAUCCUUGAGAUCAUAUGUGUGGAUGAAGAAGCAGGACUUAAUUAAUGCAGGAUUAAUCCACAUCUUCAAAGCAGCUAAUGUAAAUCCAUUUUAGUAACAAUGUUUUUUUCAAAGACUAUUUUAAAAAUAUAAAUUUUUGUAAAGGGUGUCCGAAUUAUGUCAGGGUAUGGGGUCGCCCAUUCGGACACGUGGGUUCUCUACGGGUACUCCGUCUUCCUCCCACACUGACCCCCUGCUUUUCUUUUUCUUCUUCAUUAGCUAAUUAUAUUCAUAGUGUUAAGAUGAAGUAGUUGAAGGUUAGUUGUAAGUAGGCUUUGUCGAUACCCUGGGGCAUUACUGGUUGGAACUUAAGUUCCUUCGCCGCCACGGUUGCCAGGCUGGCUUGGGGAGGAGAAGCUGAAAGGGACUAGUCGGAGGCUGCUUUGUCUUUAAUUAUCUCUUUAUUAUUAUGCCAAUGAGAUUAUGGUUCAUUAUUGUAAUUGUUUUGAUGAAGUUAAAUAUGUUCCAGAUGUAAUGAUUGUUAGAUAUGACAUAAGUAUUCACAGAAUGUGUAAAUUCUGUCAGCUGUUGUAGAAAGAAUAAUUUGUAUUAAGUCACCUUUUCGUUAUUUUAGCUUAUUGUGAAAUUGAAUCCCUCAAUAUGUCAA